UGCCCUCAUAGUGUAACAGCACCAGC
rnacentral:piRNA from 1 species